rnacentral:lncRNA from 1 species
CUUUUGUCUUUUUGUUGUUGUUGUUGCUAUUUCUUGGGCCGCUCCUGCAGCAUAUGGAGGUUCCCAGGCUAGGGGUUGAAUCGGAGCUGUAGCCACCGGCCUACGCCAGAGCCACAGCAACACUGAGGGGUAGGAAAUUAUGUUGGUCUAGAUAAGAGUAGAUGGGGGAUUAUGUAGGUAAGCAAGACCUAUGCUAUCUACAGUCCUUGAUGGUUGGCCAUGAAGGAACGCUAAGCACUGGUCAAAGUCAUCAUAAGCCUAAUAGCUGCCAUUCUUAAGAAUUCCUAGUGAGAUAUCUUAGGCAAUACUAUUUAAUCCAUAUUGCUUCUUUUUUAAAAGCAAGAGAAAUUGAACUCAAAGAAUUACUGGUGGAUAAUUCCUAGACUGAAAGACUAUAUAAUUAAUCAUCCAAAAAUCCAUUUAAAAACAUCUACAGAGGAACAGGUCACUGGCAUUGUUAAGAACAAGUCUAGACUGAUCUAAUCUCCUUCUAUGACAGAGCCCCUGGAUUGAGGAAAAAUAAUGGACAUAAUCUAUCUUGACUUCAGCAAGGUGUAGCACUUGGCUCACAUGACACCCUCAUUAAUAAUCUCGGCAUGAUAUUCUCCAUCAGUGUUCUCCUCACUGUGCUUUGACACAGAUUUCUGUCGGUCCCUCUUGCUUCUCUAGAUGGUUUAUUCCUACAUUCCUGAGGCCUGGUAAGGUCCUAAGUCUUACAUUUGACCAACCUCUGCCGUCUGCAGGGACGUCCUGCUCUACCUCGUCUCCUCAACGACAUUUUACCUCCAAGCUUCAAUGCAAAAGUCAAGAAGUCUCCUUGUUCUGAAUCAUCUCUUCUUCCCCGUGUGCUCCUCCAGCUUUGUUUAGACUUCUCUACUCAAUUACAGACCCACAUGCACUUGACUAUAUCAACUGUUUAAAAAUCAUGCCAUCUGUAGAAAGAUAAUUAAUGUGUCAGUUUUGGUUACUGGCUCUGUAUUGGUGGAUGGAUUCUGUGGAUAUAGCUUAAUGAGAAGAUUCCAAAAUAUUUCAGAUGGUGCGGAAGCAAAUUAACAAGAGAUGAAAACAUAUAUAAUGGCACAUUGAAUUACAGCAAGUAGAGGCAGCACAGAUUCAUAAUGGUAAAGAAUAUAGACUCCGGGUUUCAAUGUUUAUGCUACCUGAUUGCUGUGUUUCUUUGGAUAAGACAAUUAACCUCUCUGUGCCACGGUUUCCUUAUCCACAUCUUGUUUUCAUUGAAGUACCUUUUUACUUUGUUUACUCCAUAAGCCCCUUGGAGACCAUGUCAGUUUCAGCCAAUACAUUUUGAAUGAAUGAAUGGCAGGAUGGGUAAGUGAACAGAAGAAAAUUAUAAAUAUCAGUCUCAGCUGGGCCACCCCAUUACAAAAAGUUUCAGUUGGUUCAGUUUGAGAGUCAUUCUCCAUUAUGACAUAAUCAAGUUUUAUACAUUAACAUUGGAAAUUAAUAACGUUAUAAAAUUAUCUCUAUAAAUGUUUUCUUCUACUUUUGUUGAGAUACAAUCGACAUAUAGCACUGUAUAAGUUUAAUGUGUACAGAAUCAGGAUUUGAUUUACAUACAUCACAAAAUGUUUGCCACGAGUUUAGUGGACAUCUAUUCUCUUAUACAGAUAAAAAAUGAAAAAACAUUUUUUUUCAUGAUGAUGAGAUGAACAUUUUUUGGAUGAACUUUUAGAACUCUUUUUUCCCUAAGUUUGAGUCUGCCAUUAUAACGUACAGCCAAUUCCCAAUGAGGUUAUAAGGACACAAAGAGCAGAGACACAACCCCCCAAGGGAAAUCUGGCUUGGGUUUUUUUGUUUUUUUUUUUUCCAUUGACAAUUAAUAAGUAACAAUAAUUUUCACUGAAUAAGCUGUCCAGGCUAUGACUAUUUUUAAGCCUUUCUUUUUUUUUUCUUCCUGGUAAGCAAGAGGUACUGCUUUAAUUAAUGUGAACCAAAGUGCACUCCUGUAGGAUCAAAAUUAAGAAGCCUCGAGGGGAUGAAAGAAUCUUUGUGCUUCUUGCGUCCUUGUGGGUUACAAUAUACGUAAGAGGUUUUGACUCUGGACACCUCUCUGCCCCGCCCUGACCAGAAGGAGCAUCCCUGUGCAAGAGCAAGUUCCUCUUACACAGUAGGAUAUGGUUUUAUCUGGGGAGCAUUAGCACCUCUGCUCCCUGGAAUGGGAACACCCCGAUGCUAGGAGGAUCCAAAGAGCAGGAUCAGGGUGUCAGGCUCUGGUU